rnacentral:piRNA from 1 species
UCAUGUCCUAUUUGCUACCCUGUGCUCAGU